rnacentral:lncRNA from 1 species
CUGACACAUUUUUGUGUGCACAAGAACUUACCAGUGAUAAUCUUCAAGGUUUAACUUUGGAAAAUUGCCAUCUGGUUCACAAAAACAGACAGCCUGAGAUCACUGAUGUCUUUUCACAACCAGAAGUCCAAAGGCAUAUUGACUUGAUUCAAGACUUCAGUAGAAUAGAUUGGAAAGUGUUGAGUGAAUUGAGAAAGAUUUCAACAUAAAUGAAGAGGGAAAAAUUAGAUUUGUUUGAUUACAUCUGGAUACAAAUUGGAUUUAAAUUAGAUUUGUGCUGAAAAACACAGCUUGCACAGGUAACUGAUGUAUUUGCA